UGGGGAAUUUUGGACAAUGGGGGCAACCCUGAUCCAGCCAUGCCGCGUGCGGGAAGAAGGCCUUCGGGUUGUAAACCGCUUUUGGUCGGGAAGAAAAGGUCUGUCCUAAUAGGGUGGACUAUUGACGGUACCGGCAGAAUAAGCACCGGCUAACUACGUGCCAGCAGCCGCGGUAAUACGUAGGGUGCGAGCGUUAAUCGGAAUUACUGGGCGUAAAGCGUGCGCAGGCGGUUGGUUAAGUCUGAUGUGAAAGCCCCGAGCUCAACUUGGGAAUGGCAUUGGAAACUGGCUGGCUAGAGUGUGGCAGAGGGGGGUGGAAUUCCGCGUGUAGCAGUGAAAUGCGUAGAGAUGCGGAGGAACACCGAUGGCGAAGGCAGCCCCCUGGGCUAGCACUGACGCUCAGGCACGAAAGCGUGGGGAGCAAACAGGAUUAGAUACCCGGGUAGUCC
rnacentral:rRNA from 1 species